rfam:Gossypium arboreum cultivar AKA8401 contig_35299_1, whole genome shotgun sequence.
UGUUAAAAAAUUUAUCCAUUUUUACUGUUAAAAAUUAGUAAUCAAACAAUAACACGUAGUACGUCAUAUGUACAUCAUUUUGAUACAGAGAUCAGUUUUUAAUAGUAGAGAUGGAUAAAAUUUUUAACA